GACGAACGCUGGCGGCGUGCUUAACACAUGCAAGUCGAACGGAAAGGCCCUGCUUUUGUGGGGUGCCCGAGUGGCGAACGGGUGAGUAACACGUGAGUAACCUGCCCUUGACUUUGGGAUAACUUCAGGAAACUGGGGCUAAUACCGGAUAGGAGCUCCUGCUGCAUGGUGGGGGUUGGAACGUUUCGGCGGUUGGGGAUGGACUCGCGGCUUAUCAGCUUGUUGGUGGGGUAGUGGCUUACCAAGGCAUUGACGGGUAGCCGGCCUGGGAGGGUGACCGGCCACAAUAGGACUGAGAUACGGCCCAGACUCCUACGGGAGGCAGCAGUGGGGAGUAUGGCACAAUGGGCGGAAGCCUGAUGCAGCAACGCCGCGUGCGGGAUGACGGCCUUCGGGUUGUAAACCGCUUUCGCCUGAGACGAAGCGUGAGUGACGGUAAUGGGUAAAGAAGCACCGGCUAACUACGUG
rnacentral:rRNA from 1 species